UACGUAGGGUGCGAGCGUUGUCCGGAAUCACUGGGCGUAAAGCGCACGUAGGCGGAUGUGUCAGUCAGGGGUGAAAUCCCGGAGCUCAACUUCGGAACUGCCUCUGAUACAGCACGUCUUGAGUCCGGAAGAGGUGGGUGGAAUUCCUAGUGUAGAGGUGAAAUUCGUAGAUAUUGGGAAGAACACCGGUGGCGAAGGCGGCUCACUGGCUCGUAACUGACGCUCAUGCACGACAGCGUGGGGAUCAAACAGG
rnacentral:rRNA from 1 species